rnacentral:rRNA from 1 species
GGCGGACGGGUGAGUAACACGUGGGCAACCUGCCUAUAAGAUUGGGAUAACCCCGGGAAACCGGGGCUAAUACCGAAUAACACUUUUUAUCACAUGGUAGAGAGUUGAAAGGCGGCUUUUGCUGUCACUUAUAGAUGGGCCCGCGGCGCAUUAGCUAGUUGGUGGGGUAAUGGCCUACCAAGGCAACGAUGCGUAGCCGACCUGAGAGGGUGAUCGGCCACACUGGGACUGAGACACGGCCCAGACUCCUACGGGAGGCAGCAGUAGGGAAUCUUCCGCAAUGGACGAAAGUCUGACGGAGCAACGCCGCGUGAGUGAUGAAGGUUUUCGGAUCGUAAAACUCUGUUGUUAGGGAAGAACAAGUAUCGUUCGAAUAGGGCGAUGCCAUGACGGUACCUAACCAGAAAGCCCCGGCUAACUACGUGCCAGCAGCCGCGGUAAUACGUAGGGGGCAAGCGUUGUCCGGAAUUAUUGGGCGUAAAGCGCUCGCAGGCGGUCUUUUAAGUCUGAUGUGAAAGCCCACGGCUUAACCGUGGAGGGUCAUUGGAAACUGGAGGACUUGAGUACAGAAGAGGAGAGUGGAAUUCCACGUGUAGCGGUGAAAUGCGUAGAGAUGUGGAGGAACACCAGUGGCGAAGGCGACU